AGUUUUUGUCUGCAUGCGCAGUUUGAGUGUGUGACACAGAUGUUAAGAGCUGCAUCAAGAGAAACCACCUCAGAGGAGAGUAUUCAGCAUAGAUUGUGAAUGCAUGUUUCCGUAACUGUUUCAGUUUCACUAUUGUUUAUUUAUUUUUUUAUCAAUUUCAAUUAGGACUCAAUGCUGGCACAUUCUGAAGGAACUUGAUUAUUUUUGUUCACAAACAAUCUGUGCGCUUGAGGAUUAAUAGCUAAUUGCAAUUUCAAAUGCUUCAUCAUUGUUGGAAAUGGUCCCUUAAGUCUGGUAUUAAAAACAUCUGACCGUGCCAAAGGAGCUCUUACCAACACCUGGCAAGCUGUAGCCACACUGUCCUCUGGUCGAAUCGAGGUCUCAGUCAAGCCUAACAUGA